rnacentral:rRNA from 1 species
UACGUAGGGUGCAAGCGUUGUCCGGAAUUAUUGGGCGUAAAGAGCUCGUAGGCGGUUUGUUGCGUCGGCUGUGAAAUCCCGGGGCUCAACCCCGGAACUGCAUUGGAUACUGCUCUGCUUGAGUACUGGAGAGGAGACUGGAAUUUACGGUGUAGCAGUGAAAUGCGUAGAUAUCGUAAGGAAGACCAGUGGCGAAGGCGAGUCUCUGGACAGUUACUGACGCUGAGGCACGAAGGCUAGGGGAGCAAACGGG